UGCCUAUGGAAGUGCUGGGUCCCCGCCCGAUAUCCCCCCUGAGGCAACCCUUGUUUUUGAAGUUGAGCUGGUGGCUUGUAGACCACGUAAAGGUUCUAGUGUCAGCAGUGCUUCAGAUGAAAGGGCUAGGCUGGAGGAACUAAAGAAGCAAAGAGAAACGGCAGCUGCAGCUAAGGAGGAAGAGAAGAAGAAGAGAGAAGAAGCUAAGGCCGCAGCAGCUGCUCGUAUCCAAGCCAAGCUUGAAGCAAAGAAAGGAAAGGGGAAGGGCAAAGCUAAGUAAAAUCCCCAUGCAUUUAUAAUAUAUUUACAUACUAUAUACUAGUGUCAAAAUAUGCUUUUUUGCUUGAUAUUUCUAAGCUUUCAUAUCGUUAUAAGUUACCAUUACGAUAGCCAAAAUGGUUGAAAUGGGUUUGCCUCAUUUUAACGGUCAAUGAGAUUCCCUUUGUUUUCUUAUCAUCCUAUACAGAAUCAUUGGAAGAUAGUACUUUCCGAAUUAAUCAGACUCUAAUAAAAAUAUUGGGCAUCAUUUGGGAAACGAUGUACAAAAAUAAGAGUAAUUGUAAUUUUAUUGAAAAAAG
rnacentral:misc_RNA from 1 species